rnacentral:rRNA from 1 species
AAUCAACGCUGGCGGCGUGCCUCAGACAUGCAAGUCGAACGCGAAAGUCUCCUUCGGGGGACAAGUAGAGUGGCGCACGGGUGAGUAACACGUAGGUAAUCUACCUUCGGAUGGGGAAUAACAACCGGAAACGGUUGCUAAUACCGCAUAAUGCAGCGGCACCUAAUGGUGACAGUUGUUAAAGCGGGGGAUCGAAAGACCUCGCGUCUGAAGAGGAGCCUGCGGCGGAUUAGCUAGNGGUAAGGUAAUGGCUUACCAAGGCUACGAUCCGUAACCGGCCUGAGAGGGCGGUCGGUCACACUGACACUGACAUACGGGUCAGA